rnacentral:rRNA from 1 species
CCUACGGGGGGCUGCAGUGGGGAAUAUUGGACAAUGGGGGCAACCCUGAUCCAGCCAUGCCGCGUGUGUGAAGAAGGCCCUCGGGUUGUAAAGCACUUUCAGUGAGGAAGAACGCCUGGUGGUUAAUACCCAUCAGGAAAGACAUCACUCACAGAAGAAGCACCGGCUAACUCCGUGCCAGCAGCCGCGGUAAUACGGAGGGUGCGAGCGUUAAUCGGAAUUACUGGGCGUAAAGCGCGCGUAGGUGGCUUGAUAAGCCGGUUGUGAAAGCCCCGGGCUCAACCUGGGAACGGCAUCCGGAACUGUCAAGCUAGAGUGCAGGAGAGGAAGGUAGAAUUCCCGGUGUAGCGGUGAAAUGCGUAGAGAUCGGGAGGAAGACCAGUGGCGAAGGCGGCCUUCUGGACUGACACUGACACUGAGGUGCGAAAGCGUGGGUAGCAAACAGGAUUAGAUACCCUGGUAGUC